AUGAAUGCACUUUCUAACACUAGCAUACAUGAGCUUCAAUUUGGUAGAUUUAUCAUCAUGCUAAUGCACAUUCACAGCACCAAAAAGGAGGGAAAAAAAGAACUAAUUAAUAAGUGCAAACAUCAUUUAUCAACAUCCUUUUACAACAAACAGUCCAAAAAACAAACAUCCUUUUACAACAAAAUCCGUAUGGUAGCUACAAACUUUUACAAGACACUAACUUAUGUUAAUUUACACACAAGGAAAAUACAGAAGAACUUCCUUCUGUUACUAUGUGAUAGGAAUGCUACAUUAUUUUUAUCAACAAAAAUCAAUGGUUGA